rnacentral:rRNA from 1 species
UGGGGAAUAUUGCACAAUGGGCGAAAGCCUGAUGAAGCGACGCCGCGUGAGGGAUGACGGCCUUCGGGUUGUAAACCUCUUUCAGCAGGGACGAAGCGCAAGUGACGGUACCUGCAGAAGAAGCACCGGCUAACUACGUGCCAGCAGCCGCGGUAAUACGUAGGGUGCAAGCGUUGUCCGGAAUUACUGGGCGUAAAGAGUUCGUAGGCGGUUUGUCGCGUCGUUUGUGAAAACCAGCAGCUCAACUGCUGGCUUGCAGGCGAUACGGGCAGACUUGAGUACUGCAGGGGAGACUGGAAUUCCUGGUGUAGCGGUGAAAUGCGCAGAUAUCAGGAGGAACACCGGUGGCGAAGGCGGGUCUCUGGGCAGUAACUGACGCUGAGGAACGAAAGCGUGGGUAGCGAACAGG